AUGGCUUCAAAGAUUCAAGCCUUCUUGAACCAUCCUGCUGGCCCCAAAACCAUUCAUUUUUGGGCUCCAACAUUUAAAUGGGGGAUCAGCAUUGCGAACAUUGCCGACUUUGCUAAGCCUCCAGAAAAGAUAUCCUAUCCUCAGCAAAUUGCGGUUGCCUGCACUGGAGUCGUCUGGUCACGCUACAGCAUGGUUAUCACACCGAAAAACUGGAACCUUUUCAGCGUUAACGUUGCGAUGGCCGGCACAGGCCUGUACCAGCUUUCCCGUAAAAUAAGGCAAGACUACUUCUCUGAUGGUGGGAAGGAGGUGGCUGCUGCAUCACUGGAAGGGUAG
rnacentral:rRNA from 1 species